UGCAACCUGAUGUUCUGGGAUCUUUAGCAUGGUGUGGAAAAGUAGAGAAGAAUAGCACAGCAAACAAUAUUUCUUGAUUUUGAUCUUUACAUGUCUUGAAGGAAUAUUCAAUAUGUAAAAAUUAGCCAAAACACUAGAGUUUCAGUCUCCAAUUCUUACACUAUUAGACUAUCUACAGACCACAAUUUUUUUAAAAUAUGCAAUGUUGAAAGCUGCUGUGUUCCUAUCAGUAACAAGGAAGGAAAAAUAGCCACCAAUUACUAAAUGUAAAUCAACAGACUAAGAACAGAUAAAAUGAAACAGCAGUGAUCAUCGUGUGGCAGGCUACCCCACUUUGCUACAAAUGAGUCAAGCUCCUUAUAUUGGAGUCAUACUCUCAACCCAUUCAUAUGGUUACUAAUUUCAAACAAACCAAGUCAAUAUUGCAGGCAUUCAGGGAAGUUCUCAUGUGGAUCUUCAAAAAUCCCAAGUAAAUUCUUUUCUAGUGGUUAGUUCCACUCAAUGUGAAAAGACAAAUUUCCUAAUUUUGAUUCACAAUUAACAUACAAGUCUCAAAUGUGAAAAUGAACCUGUAAACCGGGAAAAUUAAAUCACAAAAAAUGACAGUACAAUAUGUAUGCAUAUCUGUUUAACCAUCAUGCUCAUCUGAUAAUUAGCUAAAAAACUUCCUGAGGCAAUAUUAAGAUAAGUUGCAACUCAAUUUAGACAAAUGAA
rnacentral:misc_RNA from 1 species